rnacentral:lncRNA from 1 species
GGGCAGUUAUCAUGGGACACCCGCCAUAUGCUGGCAAGGAAGAUGGUCAGUUCUUCUGAGCCACAAAGGCCCCCAACAUCCUGGAGUUGGUGUUGCCUAGCAUCCACGGUGCGCCCCCUGCUGGUGGAUGGCUCAGGAUGGGGCAGUUGCCGUGGGAGGCCCGCUGCCUGCUGGAAGGAAGAUGGUCAGUUCUUCUGAACCACAAAGGCCCUGCAGAGUCCUGGAGUCUGUGUGGCCUGGCUUCCAGGGUUCACCUCAUGCUGGUGGAUUGCUCAGGAUGGGUGCCGAAGGUCUUUAAGGUCGUCAGCUCACCUACUGCCCAGCCUGUGGUGUCAAAUGUCCUGCCUCUUCAAAUGUGUUUGGAUCGAUGAUGAGUCCCCCCAAAAAAACAUUCCUUGGAAAAGCUGAACAAAAUGAGUGAAAACUCAUACCGUCGUUCUCAGCGGAACUGAGGUCCAGCGCGUUGCCUCCAGCAGGGACUGUUGGAGUGAGGGAGAGCUUCCACUAGUCCCUAUAGGUUCCACCACCCAGGGCAUCCGCAGGUGCACCUCACCUAAGAGGGUGGCCAGAGACAGUGUCUUGUCAUGACAUCAGAAGCCCCAUGAGGAAGAGGAGGAGCCUGUGCUCCUGCCAGAGGUGGUGGCUGUUAGGGACAGUUGCCGUGGGAGGUCCGCUGCCUGCUGUCAAGGAAGAUGGUCGAUGCUUCUGAGAAACAGGCCCUGCGGGUUCCUGGAUUUGGUGUGGCCUGGCAUCCACGGUGCACCCCGUGCUGGCGGGUGGCCCAGGACG